rnacentral:rRNA from 1 species
GACGAACGCUGGCGGCGUGCCUAAUACAUGCAAGUUGAGCGCUGAAGGUUGGUACUUGUACCAACUGGAUGAGCAGCGAACGGGUGAGUAACGCGUGGGGAAUCUGCCUUUGAGCGGGGGACAACAUUUGGAAACGAAUGCUAAUACCGCAUAAAAACUUUAAACACAAGUUUUAAGUUUGAAAGAUGCAAUUGCAUCACUCAAAGACGAUCCCGCGUUGUAUUAGCUAGUUGGUGAGGUAAAGGCUCACCAAGGCGAUGAUACAUAGCCGACCUGAGAGGGUGAUCGGCCACAUUGGGACUGAGACACGGCCCAAACUCCUACGGGAGGCAGCAGUAGGGAAUCUUCGGCAAUGGACGAAAGUCUGACCGAGCAACGCCGCGUGAGUGAAGAAGGUUUUCGGAUCGGAAAACUCUGUUGGUAGAGAAGAACGUUGGUGGGAGUGGAAAGCUCAUCAAGUGACGGUAACUACCCAGAAAGGGACGGCUAACUACGUG